rnacentral:misc_RNA from 1 species
AAGUCGUAACAAGGUUUCCGUAGGUGAACCUGCGGAAGGAUCAUUAUCCAUCUGAAACCAGGUGCGGUCGCGGCCUCCGGGUGAAAGCCUGGGUGGUCUCGCGCCGCAUUCCUGCACCCUUUUUUUACGAGCACCUUUGUUCUCCUUCGGCGGGGCAACCUGCCGCUGGAACUUAAUAAAACCUUUUUUGCAUCUAGCAUUACCUGUUCUGAUACAAAUAAUCGUUACAACUUUCAACAAUGGAUCUCUUGGCUCUG